rnacentral:rRNA from 1 species
GUGAGGAAUAUUGGUCAAUGGGCGGGAGCCUGAACCAGCCAAGUCGCGUGAAGGAAGAAGGAUCUAUGGUUCGUAAACUUCUUUUGCAGGGGAAUAAAGUGCAGGACGUGUCCUGUUUUGUAUGUACCCUGAGAAUAAGGAUCGGCUAACUCCGUGCCAGCAGCCGCGGUAAUACGGAGGAUCCGAGCGUUAUCCGGCUUUAUUGGGUUUAAAGGGUGCGUAGGUGGUUUGAUAAGUCAGCGGUGAAAGUUUGCAGCUUAACUGUAAAAAUGCCGUUGAAACUGUCGGACUUGAGUGUAAAUGAGGUAGGCGGAAUGCGUGGUGUAGCGGUGAAAUGCAUAGAUAUCACGCAGAACUCCGAUUGCGAAGGCAGCUUACUAAGCUACAACUGACACUGAAGCACGAAAGCGUGGGGAUCAAACAGGAUUAGAUACCCUAGUAGUCC